AGAGUUUGAUCAUGGCUCAGGAUGAACGCUAGCGGCAGGCUUAAUACAUGCAAGUCGUGGGGCAGCGCGGGUAGCAAUACCUGGCGGCGACCGGCAAACGGGUGCGGAACACGUACGCAACCUUCCUUUAAGCGGAGAAUAGCCCAGGGAAACUUGGAUUAAUACUCCAUAAGAUUAUGGUGUGGCAUCACACAGUAAUUAAAGCUCCGGCACUUAAAGAUGGGCGUGCGACUGAUUAGGUAGUUGGCGGGGUAACGGCCCACCAAGCCUACGAUCAGUAACUGGUGUGAGAGCACGACCAGUCACACGGGCACUGAGACACGGGCCCGACUCCUACGGGAGGCAGCAGUAAGGAAUAUUGGUCAAUGGACGCAAGUCUGAACCAGCCAUGCCGCGUGGAGGAUGAAGGCCCUCUGGGUUGUAAACUUCUUUUAUUUUGGGAAGAAACCCAUCUUUUUCUAAGGGUUGACGGGUACCAGAUGAAUAAGCCCGGCCUAANNUCCGUGCCAGCAGCCGCGGUAAUACGGAGGGUGCAAGCGUUAUCCGGAUUCACUGGGUUUAAAGGGUGCGUAGGUGGGCAGGUAAGUCAGUGGUGAAAUCUCUGGGCUUAACCCAGAAACUGCCGUUGAUACUAUCUGUCUUGAAUGUAGUGGAGGUGAGCGGAAUAUGUCAUGUAGCGGUGAAAUGCUUAGAUAUGACAUAGAACACCCAUUGCGAAGGCAGCUCGCUACACUAUUAUUGACACUGAGGCACGAAAGCGUGGGGAUCAAACAGGAUUAGAUACCCUAGUAGUCC
rnacentral:rRNA from 1 species